ensembl:snRNA U6 U6 spliceosomal RNA
GUGGGCUGCUCCCUUCAAUUUUAGAAUUAGAACAAUACAGAGAAGAUUAGCAUGGCCCCUGCACAAGGAUGACAUGAAAAAUUGUGAAGUGGUCCAUAUUUUG